ACCUAAACCAACUGAUUUCCUCAGGGAGACCAACAUCUCAUUCAAACCACGGCAGCCUGCAAAAGCUAGGCUUCGUUCUUAUGUGUGUGUCCAGGAUCUUUCGUGGGCCCAAAGAGCUGGAGCGGGUCUUUACUGACUUACCGCUGGUAUUUGCCACAGAAGCAGAAGCGAAGACCUCACAUCAUGAUGCUGGCUUCUGCUGCAUGUAAAGGCUAUGCUGUGGUGCUGUGAUAUGAGUUAUAUGUGCCAUAGCAUGCAGAGAAAGAAUAUUUGAUCAAGGACCAAGACAUCUUACAGAAGAAAGGGUUUACAGUUCCAGAGUGAUGAGCAUUCAUGGUGACAGAGUUGAAGCAUAAAGCAUGACAGCAGGUGACAGGCAAGACUACACAAGGAGGAAACUGAGAGUUCACACUUGACAAAGCAGAGAAUGGGAAUUGGAGUGUAAACUGAAGACCAGAAGCUGACCUUUGGAGACAUCUAGUCCAGCAGAGCAGCUGCUGCAUUCUCAGUAUCUUCAACGUGAGACAACCAUGUCGGAAAACCCAACCCAUAUCACUUUCAGGUUCUGAUGUCGCCAUCUGGCCUAAGGCCCCUGCAUGCACUGGUGCUACUGCGUAUAAACUCACAUAAGCGCACGCAAACACAUAAAAACAAGAUAAAGUUUCACAUCGAAACAUUCGCACCACAGCAUGGACGCUUCUCUCUGCACUUGGACAUAUUUUCAGUGGAAUGAGAAUACAGACAAAAAGAGGCAAUAGGCACCUGUAAUGAAGUUCUGACAAUAAAAGAAGUUGGGCAUCUCAUUUCCAUCUUGCAUGCCAAAUCUUUCAUCCUCUCCUGGAAGAUGACCCCAACACGUCAAGCGCAAGAGAAUGAAGACACAGAACAUUCCACUGCAGUCAUGUCUGAGCCUGAUCACAGCAUCCAUUCGGGUACCAUCCUUGUCCCCCCUUCACAUGGCGAAACUGGUAGCAGAGAGAAGCUGUAGUCAACACAAACUCACACAGACAGUGCACCCCAAGAAGAGGGCCAGGGCUCCAGGAAAGAGAGAUGUGUCGCUCUGCCAUCAUACCUACCAUACCUACCAUGAGCAAUUGGAUGCCAGGCACUCACAUUUCCAAACCUAAGCAAGCAGCAGAGACGGC
ensembl:lincRNA 4933406K04Rik RIKEN cDNA 4933406K04 gene